rnacentral:lncRNA from 1 species
CUGUGAUCUAGGGGUCAAGGAAAUAAGACUUUAUGGAACAGACAAGGACUGUCAGUGACUGUGUCACAGUUGAUGAUGGUCUAGUAAAGAUGAAGGUUGAGAACUGACCAGGGGAUUUAGGCUCCUGGAGGUCAUGGGUGUGGUCCACUAGGGCCCCACCCACCCAUUGUUUGUCCCCCCCAUGUUGUGUGCUCCUUUCAUGAGGUUCUACACAGCAGUGAGGUGAUCUGUUCAAACAGCCAGGCCCCCACAAAAUAGCUUAGGUCUGCAAGCCUGGAGCCGUCCUCACUAGUCACUUAGGUAACGCUGGUGAGCACUGCUGGUGCACCAGGACCUAUCUAGAUGGCAUGAAUGUGUUUAAGUCAACUGUACACUCCUCUGCCCCCAGUAAAUCCACCGCAGGAGCAUGGCCUUUGUACCGGAGGACAGAAACCCUCCCGCUGCUCUGCGAUUCUCCCAGCAUCAGCUCGAGUGGGCUCAGACGUAGCAGCAAUUUCGGUCUCUGCCUUCUUCCUUAGAUGGAAAAGGAAGGUGUUUUACAAAAUGCACGAGGAGACGUUAUGCUAAUAAAGGUAAUUGUGCAAUGACUGGA